CAAGUCGAACGAGAAAGCGGGGGCAACCUCGUGAGUAAAGUGGCGUACUGGUGAGUAACACGUGGAUCAUCUACCCCGAAGUGGGGAAUAACGCUGGGAAACCGGCGCUAAUACCGCAUAAUCCCGAGAGGGCAAAGGAGCAAUUCGCUUUGGGAGGAGUCCGCGGCCGAUUAGCUUGUUGGUAGGGUAAUGGCCUACCAAGGCUUUGAUCGGUAGCCGGCCUGAGAGGGCACACGGCCACACUGGCACUGAAACACGGGCCAGACUCCUACGGGAGGCAGCAGUGGGGAAUCUUGCACAAUGGGGGCAACCCUGAUGCAGCGACGCCGCGUGAGCGAUGAAGCCCUUCGGGGUGUAAAGCUCUUUCGGCAGGGACGAUUAUGACGGUACCUGCAGAAGCAGCUGCGGUUAACUACGUGCCAGCAGCCGCGGUAAUACGUAGGCAGCAAGCGUUGUUCGGAGUUACUGGGCGUAAAGGGUGUGUAGGUGGCCCUCUAAGUUCCGUGUGAAAUCUCCCGGCUCAACCGGGAGGGUGCGCGGAAAACUGGAGGGCUAGAGUGCGGGAUGGGAGAGUAGAAUUCCUGGUGUAGCGGUGAAAUGCGUAGAUAUCAGGAGGAAUACCAGUGGUGUAGACGGCUCUCUGGACCGCAACUGACACUGAGACACGAAAGCGUGGGUAGCAAACAGGAUUAGAUACCCUGGUAGUCCACGCCCUAAACGAUGCAUAUUUGGUGUAGGUCAUUCAGUUGAUCUGUGCCGGAGCUAACGCGUUAAAUAUGCCGCCUGGGGAGUACAGUCGCAAGGCUGAAACUCAAAGGAAUUGACGGGGGCCCGCACAAGCGGUGGA
rnacentral:rRNA from 1 species